rnacentral:piRNA from 1 species
GUGAUGUAGACAGCCAUCUUACAAGAGU